AGGAAUGGAGAGGCUUUUGAAGGACAGGAGAGGAAUCUUUAGAGAGUCUCAUUAAUGGAGAGCUAAUGGGGUGUAUGCAUGUGUUUAGAGCUGUUUACAAAUUGUACUGAACCAGAGUAAUGCUGGGAACAUGGAAAGGAAAAUGCAUCUGUGUCUCUUAAGUAUUUCGGGUAUAACUUUCUCCAUUUUGUAUAUUUUAUUUGCAAUUUCACUGAAUAUCUGUAGAUGUCUAAUAAAUGCUGUGCAUUAAAAGAUAGCUCACAUAAAAUUUUUAAUUAUUUAACCAUUUACUCACACCUAUGUUAUUCCAAACUCGCAUGGCAUUGCCUAACAUCUCCUUUUCUCCUCCACAGAAGAAUAAAAGUCAUACACAUUCCGUUCAACGUGAAGACAGGAUGAAGAUUUUGCCCCCCCUUUCUCAUCACUGAAAAUCUGCUUUGGACAACAGUGUGUUUUCAUUGGUCGGUUGCUGAGUUACUAAGCACGAGCAAGUACAUGACAGCACAAUAUAUGACCUGGAAGGGACUGGAGAUUCUUGGAAAAGAAGAGGAACUUUGGAAGAAGCAAUGGAACAUAGUUAUGUCCACUCUUGGCCUGCUAGACCUUGGAAGAACCCCUCAUAUGUUGCUCACACCUGAAGUUUGCCCUGGAGAAAUUAGCCUUAACAUUCGCAGUAAAAGAGUUGUGUUUGUCAUGGGUUUUUCCUUUGGACUAAUGUUAAUAAUGAUGGAAAUCCAUUUUUAGGACU